rnacentral:rRNA from 1 species
UGCAGUCGAGCGGACUUGAUGGAGAGCUUGCUCUCCUGAUGUGCAGUCGAGCGAACAGACGAGGAGCUUGCUCCUCUGACGUUAGCGGCGGACGGGUGAGUAACACGUGGAUAACCUACCUAUAAGACUGGGAUAACUUCGGGAAACCGGAGCUAAUACCGGAUAAUAUAUUGAACCGCAUGGUUCAAUAGUGAAAGACGGUUUUGCUGUCACUUAUAGAUGGAUCCGCGCCGCAUUAGCUAGUUGGUAAGGUAACGGCUUACCAAGGCAACGAUGCGUAGCCGACCUGAGAGGGUGAUCGGCCACACUGGAACUGAGACACGGUCCAGACUCCUACGGGAGGCAGCAGUAGGGAAUCUUCCGCAAUGGGCGAAAGCCUGACGGAGCAACGCCGCGUGAGUGAUGAAGGUCUUCGGAUCGUAAAACUCUGUUAUUAGGGAAGAACAAAUGUGUAAGUAACUAUGCACGUCUUGACGGUACCUAAUCAGAAAGCCACGGCUAACUACGUGCCAGCAGCCGCGGUAAUACGUAGGUGGCAAGCGUUAUCCGGAAUUAUUGGGCGUAAAGCGCGCGUAGGCGGUUUUUUAAGUCUGAUGUGAAAGCCCACGGCUCAACCGUGGAGGGUCAUUGGAAACUGGAAAACUUGAGUGCAGAAGAGGAAAGUGGAAUUCCAUGUGUAGCGGUGAAAUGCGCAGAGAUAUGGAGGAACACCAGUGGCGAAGGCGACUUUCUGGUCUGUAACUGACGCUGAUGUGCGAAAGCGUGGGGAUCAAACAGGAUUAGAUACCCUGGUAGUCCACGCCGUAAACGAUGAGUGCUAAGUGUUAGGGGGUUUCCGCCCCUUAGUGCUGCAGCUAACGCAUUAAGCACUCCGCCUGGGGAGUACGACCGCAAGGUUGAAACUCAAAGGAAUUGAC